rnacentral:rRNA from 1 species
UACGGGGGGGAGCAAGCGUUGUUCGGAUUUACUGGGCGUAAAGGGCGCGUAGGCGGCGCCGCAAGUCGACUGUGAAAUCUCCGGGCUUAACCCGGAAAGGUCAGCCGAUACUGCGGGGCUAGAGUGCAGAAGGGGCAACUGGAAUUCUCGGUGGUAGCGGUGAAAUGCGUAGAUAUCGAGAGGAACACCUGCGGCGAAGGCGGGUUGCUGGGCUGACACUGACGCUGAAGCGCGAAAUGCUAGGGGAGCGAACGGGA